rnacentral:rRNA from 1 species
GACGAACGCUGGCGGCGUGCCUAAUACAUGCAAGUCGAACGCAGUGGGGACGGGUGAGUAACACGUGGGUAACCUCCCAUCAGAGGGGAUAACACUUGGAAACAGGUGCUAAACCGAUACUGAUGUAUGGACCCGCGGUGCAUUAGCUAGUUGGGGGGGUAACGGCUCACCAAGGCCACGAUGCAUACAGGAGCUGAGAGGGGGAACGGCCACACUGGGACGGAGACACGGCCCAGACGCCUACGGGAGGCAGCAGUAGGGAAUAUUGAACAAUGGACGAAAGUCUGAUCGAGCAACGCCGCGUGAGUGAAGAAGGUUUUCGGAUUGUAAAGCUCUGUUGUUGGAGAAGCGGUAUCUAACCAAGAAGCCACGGCUAACUACGGGCCAGCAGCCGCGGUAAUAC